rnacentral:rRNA from 1 species
GACGAACGCUGGCGGCGUGCCUAAUACAUGCAAGUCGAACGAACUCUGGUAUUGAUUGGUGCUUGCAUCAUGAUUUACAUUUGAGUGAGUGGCGAACUGGUGAGUAACACGUGGGAAACCUGCCCAGAAGCGGGGGAUAACACCUGGAAACAGAUGCUAAUACCGCAUAACAACUUGGACCGCAUGGUCCGAGUUUGAAAGAUGGCUUCGGCUAUCACUUUUGGAUGGUCCCGCGGAGUAUUAGCUAGAUGGUGGGGUAACGGCUCACCAUGGCAAUGAUACGUAGCCGACCUGAGAGGGUAAUCGGCCACAUUGGGACUGAGACACGGCCCAAACUCCUACGGGAGGCAGCAGUAGGGAAUCUUCCACAAUGGACGAAAGUCUGAUGGAGCAACGCCGCGUGAGUGAAGAAGGGUUUCGGCUCGUAAAACUCUGUUGUUAAAGAAGAACAUAUCUGAGAGUAACUGUUCAGGUAUUGACGGUAUUUAACCAGAAAGCCACGGCUAACUACGUGCCAGCAGCCGCGGUAAUACGUAGGUGGCAAGCGUUGUCCGGAUUUAUUGGGCGUAAAGCGAGCGCAGGCGGUUUUUUAAGUCUGAUGUGAAAGCCUUCGGCUCAACCGAAGAAGUGCAUCGGAAACUGGGAAACUUGAGUGCAGAAGAGGACAGUGGAACUCCAUGUGUAGCGGUGAAAUGCGUAGAUAUAUGGAAGAACACCAGUGGCGAAGGCGGCUGUCUGGUCUGUAACUGACGCUGAGGCUCGAAAGUAUGGGUAGCAAACAGGAUUAGAUACCCUGGUAGUCCAUACCGUAAACGAUGAAUGCUAAGUGUAGGAGGGUUUCCGCCCUUCAGUGCUGCAGCUAACGCAUUAAGCAUUCCGCCUGGGGAGUACGGCCGCAAGGCUGAAACUCAAAGGAAUUGACGGGGGCCCGCACAAGCGGUGGAGCAUGUGGUUUAAUUCGAAGCUACGCGAAGAACCUUACCAGGUCUUGACAUACUAUGCAAAUCUAAGAGAUUAGACGUUCCCUUCGGGGACAUGGAUACAGGUGGUGCAUGGUUGUCGUCAGCUCGUGUCGUGAGAUGUUGGGUUAAGUCCCGCAACGAGCGCAACCCUUAUUAUCAGUUGCCAGCAUUAAGUUGGGCACUCUGGUGAGACUGCCGGUGACAAACCGGAGGAAGGUGGGGAUGACGUCAAAUCAUCAUGCCCCUUAUGACCUGGGCUACACACGUGCUACAAUGGAUGGUACAACGAGUUGCGAACUCGCGAGAGUAAGCUAAUCUCUUAAAGCCAUUCUCAGUUCGGAUUGUAGGCUGCAACUCGCCUACAUGAAGUCGGAAUCGCUAGUAAUCGCGGAUCAGCAUGCCGCGGUGAAUACGUUCCCGGGCCUUGUACACACCGCCCGUCACACCAUGAGAGUUUGUAACACCCAAAGUCGGUGGGGUAACCUUUUAGGAACCAGCCGCCUAAGGUGGGACAGAUGAUUAGGGUG